UACGUAGGAUGCAAGCGUUGUCCGGAAUUACUGGGCGUAAAGCGUGCGUAGACGGUUAUGUAAGUCAGAUGUGAAAGCCCAGGGCUCAACCUUGGAAUUGCAUUUGAGACUGCAUAGCUAGGGUGCGGAAGAGGGAAGCGGAAUUUCCGGUGUAGCGGUGAAAUGCGUAGAUAUCGGAAGGAACACCAGUGGCGAAAGCGGCUUCCUGGUCCAGCACCGGACGUUCAGGCACGAAAGCGUGGGGAGCAAACAGG
rnacentral:rRNA from 1 species